CAGUGAUUGAUCGGCUCACAAGAGAGCUUUAUGAGGGAGAUUCGUUAGUCUUAAAGGAAAAAUACAAACCAAAGAAAGCUACUAAAAGCAGGAAAAAGGUAAAGAAAAAAGCAAAAUAGAAUAAACUUUAA
rnacentral:ribozyme from 1 species